rnacentral:rRNA from 1 species
CCUACGGGAGGCAGCAGUGGGGAAUAUUGGGCAAUGGAGGCAACUCUGACCCAGCAACGCCGCGUGAGUGAUGAAGGUCUUCGGAUUGUAAAACUCUUUAAGUGGGGACGAAGAUAGUGACUGUAUCUACAGAAUAAGCCUCGGCUAACUACGAGCCAGCAGCCGUGGUAAUACGUAGGAGGCAAGCGUUCUCCGGAAUGACUGGGCGUAAAGGGUGGGUAGGUGGUUUGACAAGUUAGUAGCGUACUUCCGGGGCUAAACUUCGGAACUACUACUAAAACUGUUGGGCUUGAGUGCAGGAGAGGUGAAUGGAAUUCCUAGUGUAGCGGUGGAAUGCGUAGAUAUUAGGAGGAACACCAGCGGCGAAGGCGAUUCACUGGACUGUAACUGACACUGAGGCACGAAAGCGUAGGGAGCAAACAGGAUUAGAUACCCUUGUAGUC